GCUGGAUGUCAUGGCCAUGUACGAAGAAGAACGCAAAAAAAUGCAAAACGAAAUUAAAUU
rnacentral:rRNA from 1 species